rnacentral:rRNA from 1 species
GUGGGGAAUUGUUCGCAAUGGGCGCAAGCCUGACGACGCAACGCCGCGUGGAGGAUGAAGAAUUUCGGUUCGUAAACUCCUUUCGACCAAGAUGAAUACCCAUGGGUUUAAUACGCCUGUGGGCUGACAGUAUUGAGAGAAGAAGCCCCGGCUAACUCUGUGCCAGCAGCCGCGGUAAUACAGGGGGGGCAAGCGUUGUUCGGAAUUACUGGGCGUAAAGGGUUCGUAGGUGGCCAACUAAGUCAGACGUGAAAUCCCUCAGCUUAACUGGGGAACUGCGUCUGAUACUGGUUGGCUUGAGUGCAGGAGAGGAACGCAGAAUUCCAGGUGUAGCGGUGAAAUGCGUAGAUAUCUGGAGGAAUACCGGUGGCGAAGGCGGCGUUCUGGACUGUAACUGACACUGAGGAACGAAAGCCAGGGGAGCAAACGGGAUUAGAUACCCGGGUAGUCC